rnacentral:piRNA from 1 species
UGACUGUGUGACUGGGCAAGUGACCA